rnacentral:rRNA from 1 species
UACGUAGGGGGCAAGCGUUGUCCGGAAUCAUUGGGCGUAAAGCGCGCGUAGGCGGCCCGGUAAGUCCGUUGUGAAAGUCAAAGGCUCAACCUUUGAACGCCGAUGGAUACUGCCGGGCUAGAGUCCGGAAGAGGCGAGUGGAAUUCCUGGUGUAGCGGUGGAAUGCGCAGAUAUCAGGAGGAACACCAAUAGCGAAGGCAGCCCGCUGGGACGGUACUGACGCUGAGGCGCGAAAGCGUGGGGAGCGAACAGG